AUUGAACGCUGGCGGCAUGCUUUACACAUGCAAGUCGAACGGUAACAGGUUAAGCUGACGAGUGGCGAACGGGUGAGUAAUGCAUCGGAAAGUGCCCGAUCGUGGGGGAUAACGCAGCGAAAGCUGCGCUAAUACCGCAUACGAUCUGAGGAUGAAAGCGGGGGACCGUAAGGCCUCGCGCGAUCGGAGCGGCCGAUGUCAGAUUAGGUAGUUGGUGGGGUAAAGGCUCACCAAGCCAACGAUCUGUAGCUGGUCUGAGAGGACGACCAGCCACACUGGGACUGAGACACGGCCCAGACUCCUACGGGAGGCAGCAGUGGGGAAUUUUGGACAAUGGGCGAAAGCCUGAUCCAGCCAUUCCGCGUGCAGGAUGAAGGCCCUCGGGUUGUAAACUGCUUUUGUACAGAACGAAAAGGUUUCUGCUAAUACUAGGAGCUCAUGACGGUACUGUAAGAAUAAGCACCGGCUAACUACGUGCCAGCCGCCGCUGUAA
rnacentral:rRNA from 1 species